CACAUCACGUUGAAAAACCGGUUCCCGUACGAUCUCCGAAGUUAAGCAACGUCGAGCUUGGUCAGUACCUAAAGAGGUGACCGCUUGGGAAUACCGG